rnacentral:lncRNA from 1 species
CUUCCAUCACCACCACCUCUUCCAGAGAAAGUUGACCCACCUAUUGUCACUCUUGAUGAUCUCUUCCGCAAAACCAAAGCAACUCCUCGGAUCUACUACUUGCCUUUGACCGAUGAGCAAGUUGCUGCAAAACUUGCUGCACAGGGUAAGGAUCCGAGGAGGUGGGCCAAGUAACCUGCAAUUCUUCCCUGGAAGCUUUUACUGAUUUGGUUUUAUUUUUCAUCGUGCUAGUUAGUGGUAUGGAUUUAUUAUGAAUGCGGCAGAUCUGGUCGUGUUUUGUCUCGGGAAGAAAUUGUAGU